UGGCGGACGGGUGAGUAACACGUGAGCAACCUGCCUAUCAGAGGGGGAUAACGACUGGAAACGAUCGCUAAUACCGCAUGACAUAGCGGAAUCGCAUGGUUCUGUUAUCAAAGAUUUUAUCGCUGAUAGAUGGGCUCGCGUCCGAUUAGAUAGUUGGUGGGGUAACGGCCUACCAAGUCGACGAUCGGUAGCCGGACUGAGAGGUCGAACGGCCACAUUGGGACUGAGACACGGCCCAGACUCCUACGGGAGGCAGCAGUGGGGGAUAUUGCACAAUGGGGGAAACCCUGAUGCAGCGACGCCGCGUGAGGGAAGACGGUCCUCUGGAUUGUAAACCUCUGUCUUCGGGGACGAAACGAGACGGUACCCGAGGAGGAAGCCACGGCUAACUACGUGCCAGCAGCCGCGGUAAUACGUAGGUGGCAAGCGUUGUCCGGAAUUACUGGGUGUAAAGGGAGCGUAGGCGG
rnacentral:rRNA from 1 species